rnacentral:rRNA from 1 species
GAUGAACGCUAGCGGCAGGCUUAAUACAUGCAAGUCGUGGGGCAGCAGGACUGUAGCAAUACAGUUGCUGGCGACCGGCACACGGGUGCGGAACACGUACGCAACUUACCCUGAACUGGGGGAUAGCCCGGGGAAACCCGGAUUAAUACCCCGUAAUAUAAUGGAGUGGCAUCACUUUAUUAUUAAAGCUCCGGCGGUUCGGGAUGGGCGUGCGGCUGAUUAGGUAGUUGGUUGAGGUAACGGCUCACCAAGCCUACGAUCAGUAACUGGUGUGAGAGCACGACCAGUCAAACGGGCACUGAGACACGGGCCCGACUCCUACGGGAGGCAGCAGUAAGGAAUAUUGAGCAAUGGAGGCAACUCUGACCCAGCCAUGCCGCGUGGAGGAUGAAGGCCCUCUGGGUUGUAAACUUCUUUUAUAGGGGAAGAAACCUGUGUAUUCUUACGCAGUUGACGGUACCCUAGGAAUAAGCACCGGCUAACUCCGUG